GGUUGUAUAGUGUAGUGGUGAUCACAUCGGAUUCUGAUUCGCAUCUUAUAUUCCGGGAACCCCGGUUCGAUCCCGGGUACGACCU